ensembl:lncRNA
CCCCACAGAAACAGGUGAGUUUUAUUUCUCCUCCUCUCUCAGGCCUGUCUCUCUUUCUCUCUCUCGCUCUCUCUCUCAGGCCUCUCUCUCUUUCUCAGGCAUAUCUCUCUCUCUCUCUCACUCUCUCUCAGGCCUAUCUCUCUCUCUCUCUUUCUCUCUCUCUCAGGCAUAUCUCCCUCUCUCUCUCUCAGGCCUAUCUCUCACUCUCUCUCAGGCCUAUCUCUCUCUCUCUCUCUCUUUCUCUCUCUCUCAGGCAUAUCUCUCUUUCUCACUCUCUCUCAGGCCUAUCUCUCUUUCUCUCUCUCUCUCUCUCUCACUCUCUCAGGCCUAUCUCUCUCUCUCUCUCUCUCUCUCUCUCUCUCUCACA